AUGCAAGGGUUUAGAGAUGCUCUGGCCGAUUGUGAUCUAGAUGAUAUGGGGGCCUCGGGAGAUAGUUUUACUUGGAGCAGAGGUCGGAUCAAGGAGCGACUAGAUAGAGCGAUUUGCAAUUCGCGGUGGAAUAACCUUUUCCCGCAUGUAGGAGUGCUGAAUGGGGAGAUGACGAAGUCUGAUCAUCGACCCUUAGUG
rnacentral:rRNA from 1 species